CCCUUUAGCUCAAUCGGUAGAGUGCUGGAUUUGCAUGCCAGGGAUGUGGGUUCAAAUCCCAGCAGAGG
rnacentral:tRNA from 1 species